CUCCAUCACUGACUCUUCAGGUCUCCAACCAUCCUCCCAACUACCCCAGACCUUCCCCACACGGCUGCCCUGUAGCCUCCCAAGCAGGAUCCAGAAUAGCAGUAGCAGGUUCAUCCUCGGCAGAUUCAUCACUGAUCUAUUCCUGGCUGGAAGAUUCAUUAUAAUAUCAGUGAGGCUCCUAUCGUGCUGAUCUCUGUGAUAAAUCUGCGCAGAGGUGGUGAUAUAGCUGUAUAAUAAUUUGCAAUGGAUACAGAACCAUACAGUAGGGGGCCAUGAAAAUUUCUAAGCCUUAUGGGAGACGCAUGUUGGAAACUAGAGUCCUUGGCACCAAAAUAUUCCUUUAAAUGUGAUUCGUGAUACUGUGUCUUAGUCCUAUGAUGUCACAAGACCCCUCAUCAUUCCAUACUGGUGUAUUGGAGAUGCAGAAAUACUAUUUUCAGGUAAAAAUUCUAACUUCCCAGAUUUCUGUCUUCCUGUUAUUCUCAACUCCAGACCCAUUCUAUCCAAACUAAAAUUUCAGCCUGUCUCUCUGACAUCUCUUGGAUGUCUAGCUAUCAGCUCAAGCUCAAUAUAGCUAAAACAAAGCUCAUGAUCUCCCUCCCAAUGUCCUUUCUUGAUCAUAACACUACCUUCCUGUCUGUUGUUCAGGCCCAUAACCUGGCACCAUCUUCAACUCAGACCUCCUUCUCUGUCCUCAGAUUCAGACUAUAUCUAAAUAUCACAGAUUCUUUAAGAAAAACAUUUUCCUAUCCACCCAAGCAGCUAAAACUCUCAUCCAGGCUCUCAUCAUCUCACUGCAAUAUCCUUCUCUCUGACCUUGACAAAUGCAUUCCAACCCUGCUUCUAUCCAUUCAGAAUGCUGCUGCAAAGAUCGUUCUCCUAGCCUGUCACUUUGACCAAGUCACCCUUCUCUUUGCAUCCCUCCACUAGCUCCCCAUUUUCUAUUGCAUCAAAUGUAAGAUACUUGUAUUCACUUUCAAGGCCCCUCAUGGCCUUUCCCCACCCUACCUGUCACUUCUCAUUCACUACUGAGCUGUCAACUUCUGUCUCCGAUCAGCUGCCUGUUACAUUUUCUUCCAUGCUGCCCCUCAUACUUGAGGGGAGCUUCCUGUAAAUAGCCACAGAACUAAUGCACUAUCCUCCUUCUAAUACCUCUUUAAAACUCCUCUUUGCCAUGAUGACUACAAAAAAAAUUGACAACAUUUAAGUCACUUGUGCGCUGUCUGUCAUAUUGGUUAAUAUUGUCUCAUUGUUUCCAGGUACUCCCAAUCUAGCUGCCUGUGUCCGUUUGUUGUCUCUUGGCUUAUAUUCACUUGUAAGUGCUUUGCGGCAGGGACUUUUUCUUCUGUAUCAGUACAGCACUUGGCACAAUGGGAUCUUGGUUCAUGACUGGAGUUUCUAGGGUCUUAUUGUAAUAAAAAAUAAUAAAUUAUUACUGAGGGAUAUUUGUGUAAUGACACAACCUCUUGUGCUCUGGCUGCUUAUUUCCCUACAUGAUGUCACAAGUUACAGCUUGUGAGAUGGUACGUGGUUGCUGUAGAGGUGUUUGUGAUCUCUAAAUGGAAGACUGAAGUAUCAUGACUUGGUAUUCAAAUUGGGCAGUCAAGGUUUAAUGACCCUGGCAGACAAUCAGACCACUGACUCCUCCACUCCUGAACACACAUUAGAUUGGCCCUGUGAGUAAAAAAUGAAAGAGGAGGAUUUGGAGAGCGGUACACAAAAGUACCUUCAGCCUGGUUAAAAGGGGCAUGGAAAGACUGUCAUCAUGACCUUGCUGUAAUGUACUGCUCUGUUGCACAUUAUGGGGCCUAUGUUUGAAUCCCACUGUGGUUUUCUUCUCUAGCACCAUCCCUGAGACCUGUAAUGGCAGAACGCCAUAGCACUGGCAUUCAUGGUGGUCCAAAUUAUACAAGGGAAGGAAGGAGGAAAUGUGCGCUUGCAGUAUAUUGACCCCCUAUUAAUUUGCGGAAGGGGUCUGAAAUACUGGGACCAUAUUUGGGAGGUCUGGGUCCCCUCCUUGGCUAGGGGAGACUGGCAGAGCAUGAAGAGGGUUUGAUGGGAGUCGGCCUCCAACAGAAGCCAAUAAGCAAUGACAACACAUCCUGGGGAAAAGUUACUUUAGACACAGUUUUACUUUUUACUUGCUGUCCCUAUAUGUGCGUGUGAGAUUCUGUACACACACACACACAUGUACACCCCCCCCCGCCACUAUCUCACAAACAUCAUGCUGGAAAAGAGGUGGGGAGGAGAGAAUUCCUGACCCUUCUGCUUUUGCUUAUGGAGAAAUGGUCUUAUUGGAUAGUGAAGAUGAGCAUGCUCAUUUCUACUUAAGUGAAAUCACCUGCAUCUGGUCCAGCAGAGGCAGGCAGGAUGCCCAUAGUUAGUAAUACACCACACAUCAGCUUGCAGAGAAGGUGAGGAAUGUGUACGUGUGUGUUCAUUUCUGAUCAAGCUGUGUGUGCACAUGCAGACUUGCUGUCUAGGUAGUUUUAAUGUAUGUAGAUAGACUUUAAUGUAUAUAGAUAGACUUUAAGGUUUCUUCGGUUAUUGUUUUUUGAUUUCUCCCUUUAGUGCAACUGUUGGGGGUAAAUCUGAAGUUACAAAGAUGGGUCAAUUAAUCAGAAGAGAGAUCUUGGAGUCAUGGAUAGUUCUCUGAAGACAUCCACGUACUGUGCAGCGGCAGUCAAAAAAGCAAACAGGAUGUUAGGAAUCAUUAAAAAGGGGAUAGAGAA